rnacentral:lncRNA from 1 species
GGAGCAGCCGCGUUUCGGGGACCCGGGCAGGCGUGGGGGGCUGCGCUGAGCUCCAGGCCUCCUGCAGGUAGGGAUGCUUUGCUGACAGAUUCGGGCGUCCUCCCCUGAACGAAUGUCCUGGCGGGGCGUGCCCAGCCACCAUCCAGCUUCAGAGGCAAUGGCCGGGCGUCGUGAGAAGGGGAGGGAGAAGGAAGCGGAAGAGAGAGAGUUGGAAAGACUAGAGGAAGAGGUGGCCACGUCUUUUGCCAUCCCAGCUUUAAACUGCA